CGAUUCGUUCCUUCACCAUUGGCCUGUACCCGUCGAUCCCUCUCCGAUUCCACUCUUCUGAUCUUCCGGUUCUUUAAACCAGAUACAGGAUAUGGGUCUUUGGACACUACUGGAGGGGUGUCUGCUUAUUGCAAAUGCAUUAGCAAUAUUGAAUGAGGAUCGUUUUCUUGCACCUAGAGGAUGGAGCUUCCAAGAGUAUUCAGGGGUGAAGAGAAAUUCCCUCAAGGGACAGAUCAUUGGUCUCAUUUAUGCCACCCAAUACUUGAGGGUUAUAUUGUUAAUCCUCAACUCCCUUUGCAUUGUUGUAAAGCUGGUUUCCGGAUGAUUAUCCAAAAGUAAGUCAUUCUGCAAUGUCUUAUUGAAUAGCUUAACACAGCUUUCAUAAUCAUAUUCCUUUUAAUUUGUAUUUUUCUCUUUUGUAGUUUCUUGUCUUCCUGUGUAAAUUAGCAUUGAGAACCCAUCCAUUCCAGGAAGAUGUACCAUUUUGACUUUUCAGAUCAAGAAUGUAGUUGUGGUGUGUCAUUGAAGGCUGGACCUAGUCACAGAAAAUUCAAGUGGAUUUUCUUGAAAGGACAAUACUGCUGGCAAAUAAACUUUUGUUAUAUAGUGGCUUUGAUUGUCAAGUACAUGCAUUUAGUUGGGGUAACAUGUUCCGGUUAGUGGAUUGAGUUGUUAUGGCCUCUUUGAAAACUUACAGUUAAGAUCUGACUGGGUUCCUAGUGCUAUAUCAUCUUCGUAAGGUUGCAA